UUUUGAGAUGGAGUCUCGCCCUGUCGCCCAGGCUGGAGUGCAGAGGCACGAUCUCGGCUCACUGCAACCUCCACCUCCCCAGUUCAAGUGAUUCUCCUACCUCAGCCUCCUCAGUAGCUGGGAUUACAGGUUGGCAACAUUGUACAAGUCACCCAGCCAGAAGGAAUGCACAGUACUGUUUCAAAUCAAACCUCAGGGAUUUAGAGAUACUGUUGUUACUUCUGCAUGUUCAUUGCAAACAGAAGGUUCCUUGAGCACCCGGAAACGGUCACGAGACCCAGAGGAAGAAUUAUAACCCAGAAACAAAUCUCAAAGUGUACAAAUUUAUUGAUGUUGUGAAAUCAAUGUGUACAAGUGGACUUGUUACCUUAAAGUAUAAAUAAACACACUAUGGCAUGAAUGAA
rnacentral:lncRNA from 1 species